UAAAGAUAAAAAGUACCAUCAAAAAAAUAUUUAUAAGAGACAAAUAUACGUAAUUCUAAUAUUAUAUGUUUUAUAAUUUUGUAAGUUAAUACAUUUUAUUUUGUGUUGAUCAGUGUUUCCAUACCCAAUCCAAAUCUGCAAGUUGAUUAUUUUGUAAUUAUGAGGUUUAUUUUGCAGUUACAUAUGAAUAGAAGGUUUAUUUUGAGAUUAUCUAUAAAUAUAAAGUCAAUUUUGCAUUAUUUCCUAAAACCCUAUAACAAAAAAAAAAAUUCUGUAAAAUAGUCAUUUU
rnacentral:lncRNA from 1 species